AUUGAACGCUGGCGGCAGGCCUAACACAUGCAAGUCGAGCGGAUGAGUGGAGCUUGCUCCAUGAUUCAGCGGCGGACGGGUGAGUAAUGCCUAGGAAUCUGCCUAUUAGUGGGGGACAACGUUUCGAAAGGAACGCUAAUACCGCAUACGUCCUACGGGAGAAAGCAGGGGACCUUCGGGCCUUGCGCUAAUAGAUGAGCCUAGGUCGGAUUAGCUAGUUGGUGAGGUAAUGGCUCACCAAGGCGACGAUCCGUAACUGGUCUGAGAGGAUGAUCAGUCACACUGGAACAGAGACACGGUCCAGAAUCCUACGGGAGGCAGCAGUGGGGAAUAUUGGACAAUGGGCGAAAGCCUGAUCCAGCCAUGCCGCGUGUGUGAAGAAGGUCUUCGGAUUGUAAAGCACUUUAAGUUGGGAGGAAGGGUUGUACGUUAAUACCGUGCAAUUUUGACGUUACCGACAGAAUAAGCACCGGCUAACUCUGUGCCAGCCGCCGCCGUAAAAC
rnacentral:rRNA from 1 species